GUAUGAUGAUGAUGAUGAUGAUGAUGAUGAUGAUGAUGAUGAUGAUGAUCAGGAGGAGGAGGAAGAGGAGGAGGAGGAGGAGAAGGAGGAUAACAUCAGCGGUGGCGGUUUGCAUCAUCACCAUCAUCAUCGUCGUCAUCAUCAUAG
rnacentral:pre_miRNA from 1 species